ACGGGUGAGUAAUGUCUGGGGAUCUGCCCGAUAGAGGGGGAUAACCACUGGAAACGGUGGCUAAUACCGCAUAACGUCGCAAGACCAAAGAGGGGGACCUUCGGGCCUCUCACUAUCGGAUGAACCCAGAUGGGAUUAGCUAGUAGGCGGGGUAACGGCCCACCUAGGCGACGAUCCCUAGCUGGUCUGAGAGGAUGACCAGCCACACUGGAACUGAGACACGGUCCAGACUCCUACGGGAGGCAGCAGUGGGGAAUAUUGCACAAUGGGCGCAAGCCUGAUGCAGCCAUGCCGCGUGUAUGAAGAAGGCCUUCGGGUUGUAAAGUACUUUCAGCGGGGAGGAAGGCGAUGUGGUUAAUAACCGCGUCGAUUGACGUUACCCGCAGAAGAAGCACCGGCUAACUCCGUGCCAGCAGCCGCGGUAAUACGGAGGGUGCAAGCGUUAAUCGGAAUUACUGGGCGUAAAGCGCACGCAGGCGGUCUGUUAAGUCAGAUGUGAAAUCCCCGGGCUUAACCUGGGAACUGCAUUUGAAACCGGCAGGCUUGAGUCUCGUAGAGGGGGGUAGAAUUCCAGGUGUAGCG
rnacentral:rRNA from 1 species